GACGUAGGGCGCGAGCGUUGUCCGGAUUUAUUGGGCGUAAAGAGCUCGUAGGCGGCUUGUCGCGUCGUCCGUGAAAACUUGGGGCUCAACCCCAAGCUUGCGGUCGAUACGGGCAGGCUAGAGUUCGGUAGGGGAGACUGGAAUUCCUGGUGUAGCGGUGAAAUGCGCAGAUAUCAGGAAGAACACCCGUGGCGAAGGCGGGUCUCUGGGCAGUAACUGACGCUGAGGUGCGAAAGCGUGGGGAGCAAACAGG
rnacentral:rRNA from 1 species